rnacentral:rRNA from 1 species
UACAUGUGGGGCAAGCGUUGUUCGGAAUUACUGGGCGUAAAGGGCGCGUAGGCGGCCUGCUAAGUCGGACGUGAAAUCCCUCGGCUCAACCGAGGAACUGCGUCCGAUACUGGUGGGCUUGAAUCCGGGAGAGGGAUGUGGAAUUCCAGGUGUAGCGGUGAAAUGCGUAGAUAUCUGGAGGAACACCGGUGGCGAAGGCGGCAUCCUGGACCGGUAUUGACGCUGAGGCGCGAAAGCUAGGGGAGCAAACGGG